UACGUAGGGAGCGAGCGUUGUCCGGAAUCAUUGGGCGUAAAGCGCAUGUAGGUGGAUCAAUUAGUCUGCUGUGAAAGUCAAAGGCUCAACCUUUGAAAGCCGGUGGAUACUGUUGGUCUAGAGUACGGAAGAGGCGAGUGGAAUUCCUGGUGUAGCGGUGGAAUGCGCAGAUAUCAGGAGGAACACCACUAGCGAAGGCAGCUCGCUGGGACGUUACUGACACUGAGAUGCGAAAGCGUGGGGAGCAAUCAGG
rnacentral:rRNA from 1 species